rnacentral:snRNA from 1 species
GUGCUCACCACAUGGCUGC